GGCAUUUUUGAUGUCCCAGUGCUUGGGAACGCCUGGCACUUGGGGUCUGGGGACCAAUACAACCAUUGUCAUCCAUCGCUGUCUCUCAAAGGUCCCUUGUGUCUUUGGCCUUAGUGUGAACUGUUGCUUCAAAAUCACUUUCUCUGCCUCAGACCCUGCCUCUUCCUCAAGUCCCAGAUCAACUCGGAGCUCUCAUGCGGACAUGCCAUUAGGGAGUCACUUUAUACUCAUGUCACCCACUCCUGAAAUUCCACUGUCACACUGUUGGUGCCAGUCUUUUGAUAUGAACAUCAGGUUCAUCAUGCAUUGGAAAGUACAAGUACUUCAGCCUUGGAGGGCCAUAGGGUCUGGGUCAUAACUACUCAGUUCUUGUAGCAUGAAAGCAUCCAUUGGCAGUAUGCAAGUAGGAGGCUGUGUUCCAAUAAAACUUUAUUUACACAAACUGGCAGUGGACCAGAUUUGGCCCAAGGGCCCAAGUUCUCUUCCUGCUUUAAGUUCUGUGAAAAAGCUCUAUGUGUAACUUAAAAACCAUCUACUAUGGGCAAUUACCUAUAACCUCCACUAAUACGUUGUUACUUUGUUCUAAUCUCACCAUCAUCUGAAUUGUGUGUGUCACAUCUGUCCCUGGCGCACUGUAACCAUCUAUAUUUGUUUCUUAAAGCUUUUUGUAACAAAUCCCCACACAUGUGUUUUGCCUUUUUAUUUCUCUCAGUUUGGGAAGUCAGAAGUCCUAAAUCAAGGUGCUAGGAGGUUGUAGGUUAGUAGGUUAGUAGGUUGGUAGGUUCUGGAAUAACCUCUGAGCUUCUGAUAUCCUUUCUAGCUUCAAGGUUUGCUGGUGGUCCUUGGAAUUCCUUAGCUUAUGGGAGCAUCA
rnacentral:lncRNA from 1 species